GGCGCGGGGCUGGAGGGGUGGAACCCGCCCAGGGUAGUUGGCCCGGGGCUGAGGGAGGGCUCGCUGAGGCCCAGGUGGGAAGGACGCUCCGACCGGGAGGGCGGAGUGUGGCUUGGGCGGUUUCGAGGCCAGGCGGCAGGGGAGAAGGGGUCGGUGGGACGGGGCGGGCCAGGCGUGAGGCCCGGGCCUUAACCGAGGAACCCGGAGGCGGCGGCCAGGUCUGCACAGCUCGGCUCAGUGGCGGUGCGCUGCCCGAGGGAAGGGGAGGCUCGCGGAGAGGGGGGUGCGGCCGCAGGAGCUGCGCGACCCCCAGGAGCCCGGAAGGCAGAGCUGGGGCCGCAGUCGGGUCGGAGCUGGUGGUACCGGGCUGGCGCGCCCGCCUGGGGCCGCAGGAGCUGUCCGCCGCCGUGUGCUGAUCAGGGCCGGUCGGAGCUGUCCCCCAGAGGGGUGCUGAUCGGGCCGACGGAGAUUUCUCCCUAAACACGUUGACUGGGCCGGAGCAGCCAUUCCCCGACCGUGCUGAAAGCGGCCGACCAGAGGCUAAGCUCAACUUUGCGUGCAGGCUGCAGUCUGGACAGAGGCCCUGGGGAAAGUGAAAACCCUGAGGUUAUGUCCAUUCUACGGAGACACUUGUGCUCUGGCAUGGUCUGCAAUGGAGACAAGGAUCAAGCUUGCAGUAUCAAUAUCCAAGGAAGAAAAAUCAGGCUGAACUCAGAACUUUCUAACUGCAAUAUUCAAGGACCAGCACAGGCAGAGCGAUGAGCUGAAAGCUAUGAAUGAAAUCUGCACCUUAAUCCCAUAUGUGUCUUCAUUUAGGUUCCUCUGAAAGUACAGCCUGAGACAAGGCUUGGGUACAAGUGGUUUGUUCAGAAGUUGAUUCCUCAAAACAGAAGUGGAGCAUGGGGGAACAGAGGGUUCACCACACAAGAGCACGCUAUUGAGCUACUGCUCCGGGUAACAGCACACUGGUUUCACCAGGGUCUCUGAGAAAGCUGCAGAAUGCCUCCCAGCACUGCCAACUACUUAUCCAUGGACUACUGUCUCCAGUUCCUGAAGUAUCCACAGACCCAGUGAGCUCCUGCUGUACCAGAGAAGGCCUGGGGCAGGAAGUGUGAAGACACACAGACACACAAUGCAUCUGAGACGUAGCCCCCCAGGUCCAGAGCAAUUAAAGGUGGGAUAAGGUCCCUCAAAGGGAAGGCUGGUCACCACCUCUACGAGAGUUUUGGUGCAAGAAGUAGACCAAGUCGCCACUGCUGAGGGCCCCAGGGCUAUAAACAACAUUCAUCACGUCCCUCCCCUGCCUUACCAGCUGGGCAGCCUGGCUUGCCUAGUGAGGUACCCAGACCUUUACCCCUGAGGGGUCUGAGCCCAUUGUUGACAGUGCUGCUUCUAGUGCCUGGCAGGGAAGCACUCUGACACACGAGUCCUCUAAGUGCCACUUGUGUGGUGGCAGCCCUACAGCCUCCCAACCCAGAUUCCAUUACCCCUCCUUUUUUGCCUGCAAGUCCACCAGCAUGAGCUCAGAAUGAGAGGGGUGUCUGCAGGUUUGGGUCCAAGGGCAGUAUCCUUCCCUGCCCACCAGUGGGAUCCCCUCCUGGAAAGAGCCCGACUUCAGUGGAUCCUAAGCCUGUGGAAACAGAGCAUGUUUUACUUGUGAGUUGCUGGAUGAUGGUGAGAAGCAGUUAAUUCCAGCUCCUGGGUUCCUAGAACUGUGUUUUUGAUCCCCAGUCUGUUACGCCACCUGCAAUUCCCCUCAGUGCUUGAUAAGGAUUCCGCUGAGUAAUAAAGAUGUUUGCAAAGUCUCAUCUCAUUGGGAAUUUGGGUCGCGGGCUUUCCUUCUUUGCUUGCUUAAUAUGU